AGUAUGCAGACCGUUUCGAGGACUGGGCAUAUGAAGAGGAAGGGUUGAAGUUUUACCGACGGAAUUUCCAGCCGGACGAGUUGCGGAUGUUUGGAAAGCGGCCAAGGCCGAUUAACUCCAACUCGAACAACUCGACAUCGAACAAAGCGUGAGGCUCUUGAUCUUUGUCAGCGGGAUGGUGCGCAGCAAAAUCUUCUCUGGAGGUUCUUGCUACUGAAGUCGAGCGUGACGUUGUACAAGUUAUGCGUUUGUACGAGGUAAUCGUUAAAGCUCUCCUUCGGAGCGAUUCCGGUGAAAAUGAUCUCCUUGAGGUUGGAGUUGCGCAGACAUUCGGCGAAAUCGCCUACAGUUGUAGGGCAGCAGGAACGUUCACCGUUUCCUGCGUCGGAGACAGUCCCAAGUACUUCAUCGUGCGCUUCAAAGCCUCCAAAAAGUCCACAGUUACCUGUUCAUCAUCAUCCGGCUCGUGGUCCCAGCCGCCGCCAGAACUGGUCAGUAGUGGGCAGCUUGGCCAACCGGAAGUUGGCGAAAUUCUUGGCGCGAUUAUUGGGAUUGAUUAGAUGUAUGUGGUGCAGCCCGAGAGUGGCAACGUUCGGAGAGUAUCGUAGAAUCUUUUUCAAUCGGGAACCAGAUUUCGCAACACCACCAAGUCGAUCAACCGCAUUUAAUCGGGCAGUUCCACGCGUGCGUUUGGCCGGAUUGCUAUUUUUGAGUGCCAAUGGAUGCUGGAACAGAAUGAUCCAGUUUGCCAGAUUCCGUGGAAUAUCGGCUUACUAUCCUUUGUUGCUGUUCCGGAUACUAUAUUCGACCGUUUGUUGGGUCAACUGUUCUAGGCCUUCGUGACCUGCCCAGAGUGCUCGUGGUUCCAAUGUACGGGGCAUUGUCAGAGCUUCAGCUUUGCAACAAACGGGUAGAGCCGAUCGUUUGGAGAAUUGUGAAUGCUGCAGCGUAUCAAAUCCUAUAGCUGUUCGCUCUCGUAACUAAUA